UACAGACUCCUACGGGAGGCAGCAGUGGGGAAUAUUGCACAAUGGGGGAAACCCUGAUGCAGCGACGCCGCGUGAAGGAAGAAGUAUUUCGGUAUGUAAACUUCUAUCAGCAGGGAAGAAAAUGACGGUACCUGAGUAAGAAGCCCCGGCUAACUACGUGCCAGCAGCCGCGGUAAUACGUAGGGGGCAAGCGUUAUCCGGAUUUACUGGGUGUAAAGGGAGCGUAGACGGCAGUGCAAGUCUGGAGUGAAAGGCGGGGGCUCAACCCCCGGACUGCUCUGGAAACUGUACGGCUGGAGUGCAGGAGAGGUAAGUGGAAUUCCUAGUGUAGCGGUGAAAUGCGUAGAUAUUAGGAGGAACACCAGUGGCGAAGGCGGCUUACUGGACUGUAACUGACGUUGAGGCUCGAAAGCGUGGGGAGCAAACAGGAUUAGAUACCCCGGUAG
rnacentral:rRNA from 1 species